UACGUAGGUGGCUAGCGUUGUCCGGAUUUACUGGGCGUAAAGGGAGCGUAGGCGGACUUUUAAGUGAGAUGUGAAAUACCCGGGCUCAACUUGGGUGCUGCAUUUCAAACUGGAAGUCUAGAGUGCAGGAGAGGAGAAUGGAAUUCCCAGUGUAGCGGUGAAAUGCGUAGAGAUUAGGAAGAACACCAGUGGCGAAGGCGAUUCUCUGGACUGUAACUGACGCUGAGGCUCGAAAGCGUUGGGGAGCAAACAGGAUUAGAUACCCU
rnacentral:rRNA from 1 species